UUUAUAAAUUGUUAUUUUUGUAGACAUUAUGGCUAUUGUAGUCCACAUGGAUACAAUUCAUCGCACAAUGUGGGGCCCUUUCAGAAAGAUUGUUAUAAUGGAUGCUAGGGGGUCUUUACAUAUCAUUAAAGUUUGGGGUGACCUACUAAACAAAAAUGCACUCCGUUGGGCGUUGGCUAAGGAGGAUUAUGGCAUAAUAAUUGGGACUAUGUUUAGGCGGUUCAGAAGACAAGAGUUCCUCGAGUCUUCGGAUCAUACCGCAAUACACUUCAAUCCGUUCCAUCACAACACCCACUAUUUUGG